AACGAACGCUGGCGGCAUGUCUAACACAUGCAAGUCGAACGAGACCUUCGGGUCUAGUGGCGCACGGGUGCGUAACGCGUGGGAACCUGCCCUUAGGUUCGGAAUAACUCCCCGAAAGGGGUGCUAAUACCGGAUAAUGUCUUCGGACCAAAGAUUUAUCGCCUUUGGAUGGGCCCGCGUUGGAUUAGCUAGUUGGUAGGGUAAAAGCCUACCAAGGCGACGAUCUAUAGCUGGUCUGAGAGGAUGAUCAGCCACACUGGGACUGAGACACGGCCCAGACCCCUACGGGAGGCAGCAGUGGGGAAUAUUGGACAAUGGGCGAAAGCCUGAUCCAGCAAUGCCGCGUGAGUGAUGAAGGCCUUAGGGUUGUAAAGCUCUUUUACCCGGGAUGAUAAUGACAGUACCGGGAGAAUAAGCUCCGGCUAACUCCGU
rnacentral:rRNA from 1 species